AUUGAACGCUGGCGGCAGGCCUUACACAUGCAAGUCGAACGAGUGGCGGACGGGUGAGUAAUGUCUGGGAAACUGCCUGAUUGAGGGGGAUAACUACUGGAAACGGUAGCUAAUACCGCAUACCAUCGGAUGUGCCCAGUUGGGAUUAGCUAGUUGGUGGGGUAAAGGCUCACCAAGGCCACGAGCCCUAGCUGGUUUGAGAGGACGACCAGCCAUGCUGGAACUGAGACACGGUCCAGACUCCUACGGGAGGCAGCAGUGGGGAAUAUUGAACAAUGGGGGAAAGCCUGAUGCAGCCAUCCCGCGUGUAUGAAGAAGGCCUUCGGGUUGUAAAGUACUUUCAGCAGGGAGGCGGGAGCUGCAGAAGAAGCACCGGCUAACUCCGGGCCAGCAGCCGCGGUAAUAC
rnacentral:rRNA from 1 species